rnacentral:piRNA from 1 species
UGGGCAUCUCACUGCUCAGGAUGGCCUACC